GAUGAACGCUGACAGAAUGCUUAACACAUGCAAGUCGAUGGGGAAGUGGUGCUUGCACCAUGGCAACCAUGGCGGACGGGUGAGUAACGCGUAAGGGACUUACCUGCAGGACUGGGAUAACAGGGGGAAACUCCUGACAAGACCGGAUAAUGUCAUGGAGCUGCAUGGCUUUAUGAUGAAAGGAGACGCCUGCGGAGAGCCUUGCGUCCUAUUAGCUAGUUGGUGAGGUAAUGGCUCACCAAGGCGAAGAUAGGUAGCCGGCCUGAGAGGGUGGACGGCCACAAGGGGACCGAGAUACGGCCCUUACUCCUACGGGAGGCAGCAGUGGAGAAUAUUGGACAAUGGGGGCAACCCUGAUACAGCAAUUCUGUGUGCACGAAGAAGGUUUUCGGAUUGUAAAGUGCUUUCAGCAGGGAAGAAGUAAGUGACGGUACCUGCAGAAGAAGCGACGGCUAAAUACGUG
rnacentral:rRNA from 1 species